AAAUAAACCUGGUAGGGGAAAUACAUGAUCACAAAAAUAGCCCUCCUAGAGUGAGUCUUAACCAUUGCAUCCAGAUGUGCUGAGUUGACCCCUGCGAUUUCCCCAAAUGCAGGAAACUCGAUUGCAUUAAA
rnacentral:snRNA from 1 species